GUUUAAAUAGUUUAUAUUAAAAUAUUGGAUUGCAAAUUCAAAGAAACAUGUGUUAUGUUUAAAUU
rnacentral:tRNA from 1 species